rnacentral:rRNA from 1 species
UACGUAGGUGGCAAGCGUUGUCCGGAAUUAUUGGGCGUAAAGGGUGCGUAGGCGGUCGGGUAAGUCUGACGUGAAAUCUUCAAGCUCAACUUGGAAACUGCGUCGGAUACUAUUCGGCUAGAGGAAUGGAGGGGAGACUGGAAUACUUGGUGUAGCAGUGAAAUGCGUAGAUAUCAAGUGGAACACCAGUGGCGAAGGCGAGUCUCUGGACAUUUCCUGACGCUGAGGCACGAAAGCCAGGGGAGCAAACGGG